rnacentral:rRNA from 1 species
UACGAAGGGGGCUAGCGUUGCUCGGAAUCACUGGGCGUAAAGGGUGCGUAGGCGGGUCUUUAAGUCAGGGGUGAAAUCCUGGAGCUCAACUCCAAAACUGCCUUUGAUACUGCGGGUCUUGAGUCCGAUAGAGGUGGGUGGAAUUCCUAGUGUAGAGGUGAAAUUCGUAGAUAUUAGGAAGAACACCGGUGGCGAAGGCGGCCCACUGGAUCGGUACUGACGCUGAGGUGCGAAAGCGUGGGGAGCAAACAGG